rnacentral:rRNA from 4 species
CUGUGUCCUUCGACGCCGGUUCACCGCCUGUCGGUGCCAACUGGCGUUUUGCGGGACGUCCUGUCGGUGGUGUGUCAGGAAUCUUAGUUGUGCUAUGCUUUGCUUAGUGCAGCUCUGGUUUCGGGCCACUUUCAUAAUCCCGCCGCGGUGCUCUUAAUCGAGUGUCGAGGCGGGCCGGCACGUUUACUUUGAACAAAUUAGAGUGCUUCAAGCAGGCUUGUCACGCCUGUAUACUGUGUGCAUGGAAUAAUGGAAUAGGACCUCGGUUCUAUUUUGUUGGUUUCCGGAAUCUGAGGUAAUGAUCAAUGGGGACAGGCGGGGGCAUUCGUAUUGCGACGUUAGAGGUGAAAUUCUUGGAUCGUCGCAAGACGGACCGAAGCGAAAGCAUUUGCCAAGUAUGUUCCCGUCGAUCAAGAACGAAAGUUAGAGGUUCGAAGGCGAUCAGAUACCGCCCUAGUUCUAACCAUAAACAAUGCCUGCCAGCGAUCCGCCGGCGUCCCUCCGAUGACCCGGCGGGCAGCUUCCGGGAAACCAGAGCUUUUGGGUUCCGGGGGAAGUAUGGUUGCAAAGCUGAAACUUAAAGGAAUUGACGGAAGGGCACCACCAGGAGUGGAGCCUGCGGCUUAAUUUGACUCAACACGGGAAAACUCACCAGGCCCGGACACCGGAAGGAUUGACAGAUUGAUAGCUCUUUCUUGAUUCGGUGGGUGGUGGUGCAUGGCCGUUCUUAGUUGGUGGAGCGAUUUGUCUGGUUAAUUCCGAUAACGAACGAGACUCUAGCCUACUAACUAGACGUAUCUGGUAUCAGCAAUCGUGCUACCAGCGAUCAUAUCUCUUCUUAGAGGGACAGGCGGCUUCUAGCCGCACGAGACUGAGCAAUAACAGGUCUGUGAUGCCCUUAGAUGUCCUGGGCCGCACGCGCGCUACACUGAAGGAAUCAGCGUGUCUUCCCUGUCCGAAAGGACCGGGUAACCCGCUGAACCUCCUUCGUGCUUGGGAUUGGGGCUUGCAAUUGUUCCCCAUGAACGAGGAAUUCCCAGUAAGCGCGAGUCAUAAGCUCGCGUUGAUUACGUCCCUGCCCUUUGUACACACCGCCCGUCGCUACUACCGAUUGAAUGAUUUAGUGAGGUCUUCGGACCGGUGCGCGGAGGCGGUUUUCCGCUCCCGAUGUUGUCGGAAAGAUGACCAAACUUGAUCAUU